UUGACAUUACAUGCGCCACUUUCAGCCGUUAUAUUGUAGAACGCGAAGUGUGAACGGUUCAUCGUGAUUAAUCGGGUAUUUUCGGGAGUGUCGGGAGUGUCGAUUUAAGUGACGGGCGAUUGCCGGAUCGUAUUAUUUGCCAUGAGCAUUUCGUUGAUUGUUUGGUAAGCGGAUCAUGGAUUGCUCAAUUGAGUGGGUAUGAAUUUUGAUGCUGGAGAGACAUACAAAAUGGUCCUUAUGUUUGCUCAAAAGGAUCGGAGCGUGAUGUUUUUCAUUAAAUAUUAUAUUUAACAAUUCUUCGAUGAAAUUUAUGGAGUAAUUCUCACAACAGACGAAAUUUGUGUGGAGACUGAAGCAACCAGCAAUAUUUUAGCUGGUAAAGACAUGCGUGAAAACAAUUGAGAAUAUAAUUGGUUGGAGUACAACGACUGG
rnacentral:lncRNA from 1 species